GUACCUGCGGAGGGAUCAUUACACAAAUAUGAAGGCGGGCUGGAACCUCUCGGGGUUACAGCCUUGCUGAAUUAUUCACCCUUGUCUUUUGCGUACUUCUUGUUUCCUUGGUGGGUUCGCCCACCACUAGGACAAACAUAAACCUUUUGUAAUUGCAAUCAGCGUCAGUAACAAAUUAAUAAUUACAACUUUCAACAACGGAUCUCUUGGUUCUGGCAUCGAUGAAGAACGCAGCGAAAUGCGAUAAGUAGUGUGAAUUGCAGAAUUCAGUGAAUCAUCGAAUCUUUGAACGCACAUUGCGCCCUUUGGUAUUCCAAAGGGCAUGCCUGUUCGAGCGUCAUUUGUACCCUCAAGCUUUGCUUGGUGUUGGGCGUCUUGUCUCUAGCUUUGCUGGAGACUCGCCUUAAAGUAAUUGGCAGCCGGCCUACUGGUUUCGGAGCGCAGCACAAGUCGCACUCUCUAUCAGCAAAGGUCUAGCAUCCAUUAAGCCUUUUUUUCAACUUUUGACCUCGGAUCAGUAGGAACCCCGCCUUUCC
rnacentral:rRNA from 1 species